GACGAACGCUGGCGGCGUGCUUAACACAUGCAAGUCGAGCGGUAAGGCCCUUCGGGGUACACGAGCGGCGAACGGGUGAGUAACACGUGGGUGACCUGCCCUCAGCUCUGGGAUAAGCCCGGGAAACUGGGUCUAAUACCGGAUAGGACCGCUUGCCGCAUGGUGGGUGGUGGGAAAGCCAGUUACAUUGUUUCUGGCGGCUGGGGGAUGGGCCCGCGGCCUAUCAGCUUGUUGGUGGGGUGAUGGCCUACCAAGGCGGCGACGGGUAGCCGGCCUGAGAGGGCGACCGGCCACACUGGGACUGAGACACGGCCCAGACU
rnacentral:rRNA from 1 species